UUCUCUCACGCGCAUCGACAUGAAAUAACACGUCUUUCCGCAAUAUGGCUGCCGAUAUGGCUGCAUUUUUUCAUUUUAAUUUUUUGAUGAAUUUUUAUUUUUUUAUGAAUAUUUUGGAAAAACCCGCGAAGCACUGAAGCCGCAAAACGUGAAGCUUGAAGUGACCAAUCAAUGACAAUACUGCAUGUCAGCAUGCUUCAAAGGGUAAUUGAAACUUGCAGACCAACAUGUCGAGGGAGAUGUCAACAUGUCACAGCAGCAGUGGAAUGUAUCAAGUUUGCAGAGUUGUCCUCAAGGAUUUCCAGCGGUGACAGCUUCAUUUUAUCAAGCUAAAUGGGCCUCUCACCCACUUUGAUUCAAAACUUUCCCUUGGGUCCAGUUAGACCGUGUGUGUGCGUGAGUGAGUGUUUUCUCCCUCUGUGCUGCUUCCAGGCUGAAGUGUCAAGACAAGGGAGUGAGAUGCCUUUCUCCCUCCCAAUACAGUUGUUGCUUGCAAUCUACUCAUCUUAUAACAACACACACACACACACAUGAUUCAUAAUUGUUUGUUUAUUAAUUGGAGUUGGACAUUGUUGAAA